UACGUAGGGGGCAAGCGUUGUCCGGAUUUAUUGGGCGUAAAGAGCGUGUAGGCGGCCAUGCAGGUCCGUUGUGAAAACUCGAGGCUCAACCUCGAGACGUCGAUGGAAACCGCAUGGCUAGAGUCCGGAAGAGGAGAGUGGAAUUCCUGGUGUAGCGGUGAAAUGCGCAGAUAUCAGGAAGAACACCCGUGGCGAAGGCGGCUCUCUGGGACGGUACUGACGCUGAGGCGCGAAAGCUAGGGGAGCAAACGGG
rnacentral:rRNA from 1 species